AACAGGAUUAGAUACCCUGGUAGUCCACGCCGUAAACGAUGCUAACUCGUUUUUGGGUUUUCGGAUUCAGAGACUAAGCGAAAGUGAUAAGUUAGCCACCUGGGGAGUACGUUCGCAAGAAUGAAACUCAAAGGAAUUGACGGGGGCCCGCACAAGCGGUGGAUUAUGUGGUUUAAUUCGAUGAUACGCGAGGAACCUUACCAAGGCUUAAAUGGGAAUUGAUGGGUUUAGAAAUAGACCGUCCUUCGGGCAAUUUUCAAGGUGCUGCAUGGUUGUCGUCAGCUCGUGCCGUGAGGUGUUAGGUUAAGUCCUGCAACGAGCGCAACCCCUGCUACUAGUUGCUACCAUUAAGUUGAGGACUCUAGUAAGACUGCCUACGCAAGUAGAGAGGAAGGUGGGGAUGACGUCAAAUCAUCACGGCCCUUACGCCUUGGGCCACACACGUAAUACAAUGGCCGGUACAGAGGGCAGCUACCUAGCGAUAGGAUGCGAAUCUCGAAAGCCGGUCUCAGUUCGGAUUGGAGUCUGCAACUCGACUCUAUGAAGCUGGAAUCGCUAGUAAUCGCGCAUCAGCCAUGGCGCGGUGAAUACGUUCCCGGGCCUUGUACACACCGCCCGUCAAGCCAUGGAAGUCUGGGGUACCUGAAGUCGGUGACCGUAAAAGGAGCUGCCUAGGGUAAAACAGGUAACUAGGGCUAAGUCGUAACAAGGUAACC
rnacentral:rRNA from 1 species